rnacentral:rRNA from 1 species
AGAUUAAGUUAUUAAGGGCGCACGGUGGAUGCCUUGGCACUAGAAGCCGAUGAAGGACGUUACUAACGACGAUAUGCUUUGGGGAGCUGUAAGUAAGCUUUGAUCCAGAGAUUUCCGAAUGGGGAAACCCAGCAUGAGUUAUGUCAUGUUAUCGAUAUGUGAAUACAUAGCAUAUCAGAAGGCACACCCGGAGAACUGAAACAUCUUAGUACCCGGAGGAAGAGAAAGAAAAUUCGAUUCCCUUAGUAGCGGCGAGCGAAACGGGAAGAGCCCAAACCAACAAGCUUGCUUGUUGGGGUUGUAGGACACUCUAUACGGAGUUACAAAGGACGACAUUAGACGAAUCAUCUGGAAAGAUGAAUCAAAGAAGGUAAUAAUCCUGUAGUCGAAAAUGUUGUCUCUCUUGAGUGGAUCCUGAGUACGACGGAGCACGUGAAAUUCCGUCGGAAUCUGGGAGGACCAUCUCCUAAGGCUAAAUACUCUCUAGUGACCGAUAGUGAACCAGUACCGUGAGGGAAAGGUGAAAAGCACCCCGGAAGGGGAGUGAAAUAGAACCUGAAACCGUGUGCUUACAAGUAGUCAGAGCCCGUUAAUGGGUGAUGGCGUGCCUUUUGUAGAAUGAACCGGCGAGUUACGAUUUGAUGCAAGGUUAAGCAGUAAAUGUGGAGCCGUAGCGAAAGCGAGUCUGAAUAGGGCGUUUAGUAUUUGGUCGUAGACCCGAAACCAGGUGAUCUACCCUUGGUCAGGUUGAAGUUCAGGUAACACUGAAUGGAGGACCGAACCGACUUACGUUGAAAAGUGAGCGGAUGAACUGAGGGUAGCGGAGAAAUUCCAAUCGAACCUGGAGAUAGCUGGUUCUCUCCGAAAUAGCUUUAGGGCUAGCCUCAAGUGAUGAUUAUUGGAGGUAGAGCACUGUUUGGACGAGGGGCCCCUCUCGGGUUACCGAAUUCAGACAAACUCCGAAUGCCAAUUAAUUUAACUUGGGAGUCAGAACAUGGGUGAUAAGGUCCGUGUUCGAAAGGGAAACAGCCCAGACCACCAGCUAAGGUCCCAAAAUAUAUGUUAAGUGGAAAAGGAUGUGGC